rnacentral:rRNA from 2 species
UCUAUUUCACUUCAUGGUGAAAUACUGAAAGACGGUCUCGGCUGUCGCUAUAAGAUGGGCCCGCGGCGCAUUAGCUAGUUGGUGAGGUAACGGCUCACCAAGGCAACGAUGCGUAGCCGACCUGAGAGGGUGAUCGGCCACACUGGGACUGAGACACGGCCCAGACUCCUACGGGAGGCAGCAGUAGGGAAUCUUCCACAAUGGGCGAAAGCCUGAUGGAGCAACGCCGCGUGAGUGAAGAAGGUUUUCGGAUCGUAAAACUCUGUUGUAAGGGAAGAACAAGUACAGUAGUAACUGGCUGUACCUUGACGGUACCUUAUUAGAAAGCCACGGCUAACUACGUGCCAGCAGCCGCGGUAAUACGUAGGUGGCAAGCGUUGUCCGGAAUUAUUGGGCGUAAAGCGCGCGCAGGCGGUCCUUUAAGUCUGAUGUGAAAGCCCACGGCUCAACCGUGGAGGGUCAUUGGAAACUGGGGGACUUGAGUGCAGAAGAGGAAAGUGGAAUUCCAAGUGUAGCGGUGAAAUGCGUAGAGAUUUGGAGGAACACCAGUGGCGAAGGCGACUUUCUGGUCUGUAACUGACGCU